rnacentral:rRNA from 1 species
CCUACGGGCUGCAGCAGUGGGGAAUAUUGGACAAUGGGCGAAAGCCUGAUCCAGCAAUGCCGCGUGUGUGAAGAAGGUCUUCGGAUUGUAAAGCACUUUCGACGGGGACGAUGAUGACGUUACCCGCAGAAGAAGCACCGGCUAACUCCGUGCCAGCAGCCGCGGUAAUACGAAGGGGGCUAGCGUUGCUCGGAAUGACUGGGCGUAAAGGGCGCGUAGGCGGUUUAUGCAGUCAGAUGUGAAAUCCCCGGGCUUAACCUGGGAACUGCAUUUGAGACGCAUAGACUAGAGGUCGAGAGAGGGUUGUGGAAUUCCCAGUGUAGAGGUGUAAUUCGUAGAUAUUGGGAAGAACACCGGUGGCGAAGGCGGCAACCUGGCUCGAUACUGACGCUGAGGCGCGAAAGCGUGGGGAGCAAACAGGAUUAGAUACCCUAGUAGUC